UGCAAAGCCUAAUGGUGCUAUGAGAGU
rnacentral:piRNA from 1 species